GCAGCGCGCCCAGCGCGAGGAGUCCCAGCGCCGAGGCGCACGCGGCUCGGGGAUCCAUGGCUGCGGCUGGUGGCGAGAGUGCGAGCGCCGAGGGUUACGUUGUUUCUGUGGGCUCGUGGUUGCCAGUUGUCACUUGAAAGAAGGGCAAGAGGGAAGAGAGAGGAGGUGGAAAGGAAAAGAGAAAAUUUCUGCUUGUCUCUGGAAGCUUUCACGAGUCACAGGAAAUAGUCGUCACUAUGAAGGACUUAAGUGCUUUUCUAGAUGUGAAGAAAUACAAGAA